CGAUGCAACGCGAAGAACCUUACCUGGUCUUGACAUCCACAGAAGAAUCCAGAGAUGGAUUUGUGCCUUCGGGAACUGUGAGACAGGUGCUGCAUGGCUGUCGUCAGCUCGUGUUGUGAAAUGUUGGGUUAAGUCCCGCAACGAGCGCAACCCUUAUCCUUUGUUGCCAGCGGUUAGGCCGGGAACUCAAAGGAGACUGCCAGUGAUAAACUGGAGGAAGGUGGGGAUGACGUCAAGUCAUCAUGGCCCUUACGACCAGGGCUACACACGUGCUACAAUGGCGCAUACAAAGAGAAGCGACCUCGCGAGAGCAAGCGGACCUCAUAAAGUGCGUCGUAGUCCGGAUUGGAGUCUGCAACUCGACUCCAUGAAGUCGGAAUCGCUAGUAAUCGUGGAUCAGAAUGCCACGGUGAAUACGUUCCCGGGCCUUGUACACACCGCCCGUCACACCAUGGGAGUGGGUUGCAAAAGAAGUAGGUAGCUUAACCUUCGGGAGGGCGCUUACCACUUUGUGAUUCAUGACUGGGGUGAAGUCGUAACAAGGUAACCGUAGGGGAACCUGCGGUUGGA
rnacentral:rRNA from 1 species